UAAGGAAUAUUGGUCAAUGGGCGAGAGCCUGAACCAGCCAAGUCGCGUGAAGGAAGAAGGUUCUAUGGAUUGUAAACUUCUUUUGUAAGGGAAUAAAAAAGCUUACGUGUAGGCUAUUGUAUGUACUUUACGAAUAAGGAUCGGCUAACUCCGUGCCAGCAGCCGCGGUAAUACGGAGGAUCCAAGCGUUAUCCGGAUUUAUUGGGUUUAAAGGGUGCGUAGGCGGACCUAUAAGUCAGUGGUGAAAGUUUGCAGCUCAACUGUAAAAUUGCCAUUGAAACUGUUGGUCUUGAGUGUAAAUGAGGUAGGCGGAAUGUGUUGUGUAGCGGUGAAAUGCUUAGAUAUAACACAGAACACCAAUUGCGAAGGCAGCUUACUGGGAUACAACUGACGCUGAGGCACGAAAGCGUGGGGAGCAAACA
rnacentral:rRNA from 1 species